rnacentral:rRNA from 1 species
ACUCCUACGGGAGGCAGCAGUGGGGAAUUUUGGACAAUGGGCGCAAGCCUGAUCCAGCCAUGCCGCGUGCGGGAAGAAGGCCUUCGGGUUGUAAACCGCUUUUGUCAGGGAAGAAAAGGUUCUGGCUAAUACCUGGGACUCAUGACGGUACCUGAAGAAUAAGCACCGGCUAACUACGUGCCAGCAGCCGCGGUAAUACGUAGGAUGCAAGCGUUAAUCGGAAUUACUGGGCGUAAAGCGUGCGCAGGCGGUUAUGCAAGACAGAGGUGAAAUCCCCGGGCUCAACCUGGGAACUGCCUUUGUGACUGCAUGGCUAGAGUACGGUAGAGGGGGAUGGAAUUCCGCGUGUAGCAGUGAAAUGCGUAGAUAUGCGGAGGAACACCGAUGGCGAAGGCAAUCCCCUGGACCUGUACUGACGCUCAUGCACGAAAGCGUGGGGAGCAAACAGGAUUAGAAACCCCUGUAGUCCC